rnacentral:rRNA from 1 species
UACGUAGGUGGCAAGCGUUGUCCGGAUUUAUUGGGCGUAAAGCGCGCGCAGGCGGUUCCGCAAGUCCUGUGUGAAAUCUUCGGGCUCAACUCGAAGUCUGCACGGGAAACUGCGGGGCUUGAGUGUGGGAGAGGUGAGUGGAAUUCCCAGUGUAGAGGUGAAGUUCGUAGAUAUUGGGAAGAACACCGGUGGCGAAGGCGGCUCUCUGGACCACAACUGACGCUGAGGCGCGAAAGCGUGGGGAGCAAACAGG